GAAGUUGUUAAGUAGAGUUCACCCAGACACCAGUACAGCUUCCUUUCGGUUUGCUGCUCUCAAAUAUUCAGACAUUUGCUUGAGCUGAGCAGCACAGACAUGCUGAGAGACAGAUGCUAGGACAUCAAUGCAGCCCCCCAUGCAUGCUAUGGAGUUCAUUAUUUCUUGCUGAGCCAGCUGCUUUCCAAUAACCAGUAACUCCUUCUCCUCAUUAGAAUACCUCUCCUAUCCCUUCUGCCCCCCAUGCCCGAGUCCCAGAAACCAUUCCCUUUCCACAUGCCAGAGUUCCAGAAAGCUCUCCCUUCUGUUUUGAUCCUCGAAUCUAUGACUGCCUUACUACUUUGCCCUGCUCAGGCACAAG